rnacentral:rRNA from 1 species
CUGCGCCUACGGGGCGCAGCAGUAGGGAAUAUUGCUCAAUGGGGGAAACCCUGAAGCAGCAACGCCGCGUGGAGGAUGAAGGUUUUCGGAUUGUAAACUCCUUUUGUUAGAGAAGAUAAUGACGGUAUCUAACGAAUAAGCACCGGCUAACUCCGUGCCAGCAGCCGCGGUAAUACGGAGGGUGCAAGCGUUACUCGGAAUCACUGGGCGUAAAGAGCGCGUAGGCGGGAUAGCAAGUCAGAUGUGAAAUCCUAUGGCUUAACCAUAGAACUGCAUUUGAAACUGUUAUUCUAGAGUGCAGGAGG